rfam:Oryza barthii chromosome 2, whole genome shotgun sequence.
AAAAGGUCAAACCCUGGAUUUCCUUGUCUAACUUUGAAUAUCCAUCUUAUAUAAUUUUUUUUAUAAUUUGUAUUUUCAUUAUUGUUAAAUGAUAAAACAUGAUUAAUAUUUUAUGCGUGACUUGUCUUUUUUUUCAUAUUUUUUUAAAUAUAAGACGGACGGUCAAACGUUGGACAUAAAAACUAGGGUUUGCCUUUUUU